AUGACCCGCUUGCAUCAUAGGCGUGUCUCAAUGGCUAGGUCGAACAGGUCUUCUUCUAGUGCCUCCGUAGGAAACAAUGGAUCAACUCAGUCAACUGUACAGGCUAAAAAGCCUAGAACACCAAGAACUAGGACUUCAGCCGGUCUCAGACUAGAGGAAAUUGACCGACUGCUUAUAGUUCCCGUUGGCAUGGCAUGGGAAAGGCACCCAUACAGCGCUCGUGAUCCAUCAACGGUGCUAGGUGCCUUAGUGCGCCAGAUGUAUCCACCGCCAAUUGGUCCAAAAAAUGAUCAGAAACCGGUAUUGUGUUGGGAGGACUACAAGUGGUCCCCUGGUCCAGAAGUAAGAACAGCAUCUUCCAAAAUAGUGGAAGAAUUUUGGUGGCGUUUCAAGUGUGACCCAUCGGAGCAAGAGAAGGCAGAUGGUGUUUUGGAGGAGAACUUAACUAGGAAAGUGAACCAGAUGCUACAUGAGGAAAAGGCGGCAUCCAUCAAAAGAUUAAAGAAGAAGGGACAAUUGCCUACAGAACUAACAGAAGAGGAUGAGGAUGGUAACCGCUGGCCAACUAAGGAAGCUUUAAUUUCUGCAAAGAGAGUUGACUUUGGUACAGACGUUGGUUGGCGUCUACUAUGUGAGCACUGGAGUAGUACUGAAUUUAGAGGGUUAUCUUUAACCAACAAAAGGAACAGACUUGCUAAUGGGGACACGGUCUUCCAUUGCAGUGGUGCUAGAAAUGUUGUCGCCACACGUCAAUUUCUGAAACUCAAAACCGGGAAAGACCCUGGAAUUUCUGGUGCUUGGCUUCACACGCACAAAUUGCAUCGAGGGACUGAUGAAGAGCUGAUAUGCAGUCAAAGAACUGCUGAUCAUUGGGAGGAUUUUGAUAAGGCAAUGAAAAAUGCCCAUGGAGAAAAUUGGGAAGAGGAGCACCCGGAUUUAGAUGGACAAAUCAUCUACGAAGCAGCAGGCAGAAUGCCACAUGGCAGGCUGGGAAUUGCUAAUGAGUUGUUUAGCAAAGCAGAGAAGGCGAAGUUUAAGUCUAAAAGGGCGAUGGCCUCACAGCCGGUGCAAUCUGCUAAGGAGGAGCGUCUAGAAAGAGAAAAUGAAUAUUUGAAGCAGGAGAUCAAGCGUCUUCGAGGCAUUGAGCUUGUUGUUCAGUCUUUGGCUGAGAAAGGGGGAGUCGACUUUGAUGGCAUAAUGCAAUCAGCAACAGAUGACUUGUCUCCAUCAUAUUCUGAAGGCGGAUUUCAAAGGGGACGAGGUGAUGUGCCUCAACACCAAACCGAAAAGGGAAUGGGAAGCAGGACUGGAGGCAGUACGAGUCAUGGAAAUGAUGAUGAGGACGACGACUAUGGCAAUGGGGGAUAUGGUAACUAUGGCGAGGGUGAUAUGUAUGGUGAUGAGCACUAUGAUCACUAUGGUGAUGGGGAAUAUGAUGACUAUGGAGAUGAGGAUGACUAUGGCUAUGGCUAUGGCGGUGGCGAUGGCGAUGAUGAUGAUUGGCUAUAA
rnacentral:rRNA from 1 species